AGAGUUUGAUUCUGGCUCAGGAUGAACGCUGGCGGCGUGCUUAACACAUGCAAGUCGAACGGGUUUAGCGAGAGCUUGCUUUGCUAAAACUAGUGGCGGACGGGUGAGUAACGCGUGAGUAACCUGCCUUAGACUGGGGGAUAACACUUAGAAAUAGGUGCUAAUACCGCAUAAGCGCACAGUGCCGCAUGGCACAGUGUGAAAAACUCCGGUGGUCUAAGAUGGACUCGCGUCUGAUUAGCUAGUUGGUGAGGUAACGGCCCACCAAGGCGACGAUCAGUAGCCGGCCUGAGAGGGUGAACGGCCACAUUGGGACUGAGACACGGCCCAAACUCCUACGGGAGGCAGCAGUGGGGGAUAUUGCACAAUGGGCGAAAGCCUGAUGCAAGCGACGCCGCGUGAGUGAAGAAGUAUUUCGGUAUGUAAAGCUCUAUCAGCAGGGAAGAAAAUGACGGUACCUGACUAAGAAGCCCCGGCUAACUACGUGCCAGCAGCUGC
rnacentral:rRNA from 1 species